UUGAACAGAGCAUCGAGCAUUCAUGUAGCUUCAUUAACAUAUUGUACAUGCAUGUUAUAUAGAAAUUCCAAAAUCAUCUUUGUCAACAAAACAUAUUAUUUGAUCCUCUUACAGAUUGUAAAAGUAUGUCUCAUGCUCUACAGAUUGUCAACCAUCUUAUGCUUGUACUCAUCAUCGACUGCUAUAUGUUAUAAGGCACGAUAACAAAUUGUCCUUCAUCACCUCUUGCAAAUCUCACAACCUCCAAUUCUUGAUGCACUAAAUCGACUUUCACCACGACCAUUUCUGUUCCCUCGCCACCCCUGCUCGGAUGAAGAGGUGACUGAAAAGAAAAUGAUAUAAGUACAUCAAACAAUCAGAUCAGGGCUGUUGACAAUCCAGAAAUGCCAUGAGUCAUACUGGUGUACAUGAAUAACCAAAUGCCAUAUACAAUUGUCCUGAAGGGGGUAAAUAGAAAGUUUAACCAAAGUAAUCUUACAACCUCAUAUUAGAGGUUAGAUAUCUUUCACGGCAAUUACGGAAAUGAUGAACACUCUUACAGUAAAGGGAGUCAGUGGUGACAACGGGAGGCACACGCGUAGUCGGCGACAACUGCGCGGAUGAGAGGGGAGGACAGGGGGACUUAGUUUGUGCUCCUGUAGCUACACGAUGGAAGAAGUAAAAAAAUCAGUGUAUGCUCAGUCCAUGCAACAUUAAAAGUGCACCCAAAAAAGAAAAUCAAAAACUCAGUUUAUUCUCAUGGUUCUUUACUCAACACUUGCUUGGCCAUGUUGCUCUUUCCCCGCCUAUUCGCUGCACGUCACAAAAACACAUGCCAAAAGAAAUCUGGAAUACAAUGCCUAAAAAUUUGGAAUAUAAUGCCACAAAAACUUGCAAAAUUUCUUUUAAAUAUGAAUCUCUACUCUCCCCUGUUCACGAAAAUAUGUUGUGCUCUAGCUAGUCUAUACAGAUCAUACAGGUUCUAUUGAUUAGGGGGUCACUAAUAAGUGGAGAAAUAUGUAUAGAGAGAUAUGGGCGAGAAAGGCGCAGUACCAUUGCCUAUGUAACGUAUUAGUCUAACAUUCAUCAGUAUUAUAUACCGUGAAAUGUACAAGUCCACAUUGCAGACCACCCAAACAUGUCACAAUCCCUAUAUUAAGCUGAUAAAGCAAAUGAACAACCAGUCAGAACAUACUUAAAGUCAGGUCGAUUUACAAAUUGCAGGCAAUGAUCAAGAGUAGGUGAAUUACUAACCAAAGGAAGCCUCCAGAAUCAAAUCGAGCAUGACACCAUCAUGGACAUCAGGUUGAAGCGAUCUAUUUUCUAGAUAAUAUACCUUGCAUUUCUGUAGUAAUAAAGCAUGAACAAUGAUUGGAGAUUAGAAGAAAAAAUGAUAGAAAGAAAUAGUUGUGAGAGAUCUUGCAUUCACAUUUCAUGUAGCACAAUUAGAGAGAGAAAAGACAGGCAAAUAUAAAAAAUAAGGCCAAGAAUUGUUUUCUUAAAGCCUUAAAAUGAACUGGUAAAGAAAAACAAACCCCAUGGAAGAAAAGAACAAAAUAUGUGCUUCAGGUAGAAGCAUCAGUCACCAGGCUCACAUCCAAGGUUUUUGAGUCGCCGACUAAUCGCCAAGUCGUUGGAGCGAGGUUGGCUUGCACAGGCGACUUGGCUUGAGGAGCGAGUCGCGCGGCUGGUAGGCUAGUCGACGAUUAGUCGACGACUAGUCGGGCGACUAGGACCUCAGAGCAGGGCGGCUUGCUUCAGCAAGGCCAAGGGAGGGAAGACUGGGAAGGUGAGGAGGCCAGAGUUUGAGGGAGGGGAGGAGGAGACGAAGCUGGAGAGUGCGCCGCCUGUACGAGAAGCACGGAAGAGACGAAGGAGAAAGGCACAUGGGAGAGCAGAUGCACGGUCCAGAUUAGAGCAUAUGGACGGUUGGGAUUUUAUUUGGAAGCUAGGGUUACAUAAUGGGCCUAUUGGGCCAGCUCUCUAGCACGAAACAGAGGAGCAAGACGCGUGCUCCCAUCCCACAUCAGAAUCGCCGCCUCCAUUGCUCCUACGAGCUGCUGCUGCCUUCUCCGAGCUGAAGUAUCCUCCAAGCAGCUGCCUUCCCCCUCCUCCGCGUGCAACAGCACCUCUUCCCCCUCCUCCUCCUCCUCUUCCCCCUCCUCCUCCUCUUAACACCUGGGGCGACUUGGGGGCGAUUAAUCACGACGAGUCACAGACUAAUCGCAGCGAGCCACUAGUUGGAGGCAUGGCGACUCGACUUGGCUAGGCGACUCAAAAACCUUGCUCACAUCAUUGUUCUUUGCCAUGGUGCAGGCUUUGGUGCUGAAUGUAGAAUCUAGGCUUCCUCCUGACUACCCUUCUAAUGGUAUCCUCUCCUGCCUCAAUCUACGUUGUGUGGAUACUUCAGAAAGCGCACGUAUCCAGCCGGAUACUGCCCCGAUACGUAUCCCGUAAAUAUCUUUCGAUUUUUUGAUUUUAGAAAAAGAAAAUAAUGUUCGAUACUCCUGGGAUACUGCUGCGAUACGUUUUGGAUACCUCAAACCCCUCGUUCAACCUGAAAUCCCCUCAAUAGAAAAGGCGCACGUUUGAAGAUUCCCAACAUGGGCGUGAGUUCAUGUCAAAACAUGACUAUCAAUGUUCUUGUUCACCGGCCAUGUUGCUCUAAUUUCCCCUACGCCUAUUCACUGCACGUCACAACAACACAUGCCAAAAGAAAAUCUGGAAUAUAAUGACUAAAAAUUUGGAAUAUAAUGCCACAAAAACUUGCAAAAUUUCUUUUAAAUAUGCAUCUCUACUCUCUCCUGUUCACAAAAAUAUGUUGUACUCUAGCUAGCAUAUACAGAUCAUACAUGUUCUAUUGAUUGGGGGGUCACCAAUCAGUGGAGAAAUCUGUAUAGAGAUAUAUGGGUGAGAAAGGCGCAGUACCAUUGCCUAUGUAACAUAUUAGUGUAACAAUCAUCAGUAUUAUAUACCUUGAAAUGUACAAGUCCACAUUGCAGACCACCCAAACAUGUCACAAUCCCUAUAUUGAGCUGAUAAAGCAAAAGAACCAGUCAGAACAUAUUAAAGUCAGGUUGAUUUACAAAUUGCAGGCAAUGAUUAAGAGUAGGUGAAUUACUAACCAAAGGAAGCCUCCAGAAUCAAAUCGAGCUGACAC
rnacentral:lncRNA from 1 species